CCUUAUAGUGGAAGCGGAUGGAGCGACGUAUCCAGUGCGUAUUCAGCCGUUCGCGGAUGCAAUUUUGUUUGGGCAGUUCUGCAAAUCCUGCUCCGGCGAAUUGUUGUGUUCGUGGGCGGUGCAUUUGCKUACAGAGUGCGCCGAAUCGGUUGAUGGCGUCGUUYGAAGKCGCGGAAGAGGACUMRCUUGCUAGAACCCUGCCGCGUCGGACGGCGAAUGYUGUUAAUUGUUUUGGARUCUAUUACGAUCGUCAGCAGUGACUUGAGUUGUUUAUGUUUAGUGCUUGCAUUACGCAUCUAUGAUUUAGGUCGUUGUUGGCGAUUGCCCGACUCUCAUUCGGUGUCUAGUCGGUCACCCAUUCGACCCGUCUUGAAACACGGACCAAGGAGUUUAAAGUGUACGCACGUCAUUGAGUGGAAAACUCAGAGGCGUAAUGAAAGUGGGACACUCAGUGUCUGCAAUGUGACGAGCGGGAUUUUCGAAUCACACUCAGCAACAUUGCCCCAUGGCGAGAAUUCAUUCUGUUGUGGAGUCCGAGCGUACUCUUUGAGACCCGAAAGAUGGUGAACUAUGCCCGAACAGGACGAAGUCAGACGAAAGUCCGAUGGAAGUCCGUAGCGGUUCUGACGUGCAAAUCGAUU
rnacentral:rRNA from 1 species